AUMAAGAGCUAUUUAAAGGGGGUACAGCCCCUUUUAAAGAAGGACACGCCUUCCCUAGCGGAUAACUUACCCAACCCCACCCCCUAAACUUGUAGGCCCUUAAGCAGCCAUCAGCAAAGAGUGCGUCAAAGCUCCACACCCCAAAAAUCUGAAGACUGUACGACUCCCUUACCACCAACAGGCCAACCUAUAACAAUAGAAGGAUUAAUGCUAAAAUAAGUAACUAGGGCCUCUCACCCUCUCAGGCGCAAGCUUACAUGAUUCCAUUAUUAACAGGCUAACUAAUACCGCAACUUUGACAAGACAAAAUAUUGAACCCGUCCUGUUAACCCAACUCAGGAGCGCCCAUAAGAAAGAUUUAAAUCUGCAGAAGGAACUAGGCAAACCCAAGGCCCGACUGUUUACCAAAAACAUAGCCUUCAGCCAACCAAGUAUUGAAGGUGAUGCCUGCCCAGUGACCCCACGUUCAACGGCCGCGGUAUCCUAACCGUGCGAAGGUAGCGCAAUCAAUUGUCCCAUAAAUCGAGACUUGUAUGAAUGGCUAAACGAGGUCUUAACUGUCUCCUGUAGAUAAUCAGUGAAAUUGAUCUUCCUGUGCAAAAGCAGGAAUAGGCACAUAAGACGAGAAGACCCUGUGGAACUUAAAAAUCAGCGGCCACCACACAUUUAACUCCUAAGCCUACUAGGCCCGCACACCCCCUCCAAACACUGGCCCGCAUUUUUCGGUUGGGGCGACCUUGGAGAAAAACGAAUCCUCCAAAAAUAAGACCACACCUCUUAACCAAGAGCAACAUCUCAACGUACCAACAGUAACCAGACCCAGCACAAGCCUGACUAAUGGACCAAACUACCCCAGGGAUAACAGCGCAAUCUCCUUCAAGAGCCCAUAUCGACGAGGAGGUUUACGACCUCGAUGUUGGAUCAGGACAUCCUAAUGG
rnacentral:rRNA from 1 species